CCUACGGGUGGCUGCAGUGGGGAAUAUUGGACAAUGGGCGAAAGCCUGAUCCAGCCAUGCCGCGUGUGUGAAGAAGGCCUUCGGGUUGUAAAGCACUUUCAGUGGGGAAGAAAGCCUUGGGGCUAAUACCCUCGAGGAAGGACAUCACCCACAGAAGAAGCACCGGCUAACUCCGUGCCAGCAGCCGCGGUAAUACGGAGGGUGCGAGCGUUAAUCGGAAUUACUGGGCGUAAAGCGCGCGUAGGCGGUCUGAUAAGCCGGUUGUGAAAUCCCCGGGCUCAACCUGGGAACGGCAUCCGGAACUGUCAGGCUAGAGUGCAGGAGAGGAAGGUAGAAUUCCCGGUGUAGCGGUGAAAUGCGUAGAGAUCGGGAGGAAUACCAGUGGCGAAGGCGGCCUUCUGGACUGACACUGACGCUGAGGUGCGAAAGCGUGGGGAGCAAACAGGAUUAGAUACCCUUGUAGUC
rnacentral:rRNA from 1 species